GGAGGUUUAGCUCAGUUGGGAGAGCAUUUGCCUUACAAGCAAAGGGUCAGCGGUUCGAGCCCGUUAACCUCCACCA
rnacentral:tRNA from 1 species